AAAGUCUGGCAUGUGAGUCUGGCUGCCUGGUUCCAGCCCCAUCUCGUGUCUGCCCCUGACUGGGCGGACUUGGGUCAGGCAGGUGGUCCUUCCUGGGCCCGUUUCCUGGUCCCUGCGUUGGGGAAUGGCCUGAGGUUCCGGGGGAACCUUUUGCAGCUCAGACACCUAGAUUCAGCUUGCUGGGGACGGGGGGUUGUAAAUGUCCCCUGAAGCCUGUGGCAGCCGGGCAGGCAGAACCUCCAUUUCUCACCUAACAUGCAUGAGUGUGCCCUUGGGGACACAGCAAUGACCAAGGCAGAUGGGCGUCCCUUCCCUGGUGGCAUGGACAUUCAAGAACAUGCCGAGUUUUUGCACUGCAAGUCCAAAAAGUUUACAGACUUUGAUGAAGUCCGGCAGGAGAUUGAAGCAGAGACCGACAGGGUCACGGGGACCAACAAAGGCAUCUCCCCAGUGCCCAUCAACCUUCGAGUCUACUCGCCACACGUGUUGAACUUGACCCUCAUCGACCUCCCGGGUAUCACCAAGGUGCCUGUGGGCGACCAGCCUCCAGACAUCGAGUACCAGAUCAAGGACAUGAUCCUGCAGUUCAUCAGCCGG
rnacentral:sRNA from 1 species